UUGGAGGGCAAGUCUGGUGCCAGCAGCCGCGGUAAUUCCAGCUCCAAUAGCGUAUAUUAAAGUUGUUGCAGUUAAAAAGCUCGUAGUUGAACUUCGGAAUCAAUGGAUUGGUCAUGCCGUUGGUAUGUACUGGUCAUAUUGGUUCUCACCUUCUAAGGAACCAUAAUGUCAUUCAUUUGAUGUUUUGGGGAAUUAGGACUGUUACCUUGAAAAAAUUAGAGUGUUUAAAGCAGGCUAACGCUUGAAUACAUUAGCAUGGAAUAAUGAAAUAGGACAUCGCAUUCUAUUUUGUUGGUUUCUAGGAUCGAUGUAAUGAUUAAUAGGGAUAGUUGGGGGCAUUAGUAUUCAAUUGUCAGAGGUGAAAUUCUUGGAUUUAUUGAAGACUAACUACUGCGAAAGCAUUUGCCAAGGAUGUUUUCAUUAAUCAAGAACGAAAGUUAGGGGAUCGAAGACGAUCAGAUACCGUCGUAGUCUUAACCAUAAACUAUGCCGACUAGGGAUCGGAUGAUGUUGAUUUUUUAAUGACUCAUUCGGCGCCUUACGGGAAAC
rnacentral:rRNA from 1 species